rnacentral:RNase_P_RNA from 1 species
AGGCAGUCGCUCCGGCACGGUGCAAACCGGGACGGAGAGGAAAGUCCGGACUACACAGAGCGGGGAGUCCUUUUGAAAAGAAGGAUACUGCGGACCAUAUGCCGCAGGAAGGCCAGUGCCACAGAAAAAAUACCGCCGCGGCGCAAGUCGCGGUAAGGGUGAAAUGGCGGGGUAAGAGCCCACCGGGCGGUUGCGAGAGCGCCGCUGCAAGGUAAACCCCUCCCGUAGCAAGACCAAAUAGGGGAUGAUGCUGCUGCUCGCAGCGCCAGCAAUCCCGGGUUCUGGUCGCUUAGACAGAUGAUUGCCGUCUCCGCCGGCCGGCGGGGAAACAGAAUUCGGCUUAUGC